UUACUGACACUCAUGCACGAAAGCUGGGGUAGCAAACAGGAUUAGAUACCCUGGUAGUCCCAGCUGUAAACUGUGUGCACUUGGUGUUGGCGGUAUUGACCCCGCCAGUGCCGGAGUUAACGCGUUAAGUGCACCGCCUGAGGAGUACGAUCGCAAGGUUAAAACUCAAAGAAAUUGACGGGGGCCCGCACAAGCGGAGGAGCAUGUGGCUUAAUUCGAUGCAACGCGAAGAACCUUACCUGGGUUUGACAUCGGAGAGGCUUGCCUCUAGCGCGUGAAAGCGCGUUAACCAGACAGGUGCUGCAUGGCUGUCGUCAGUUCGUGCCGUGAGGUGUUGGGUUAAGUCCCGCAACGAACGCAACCCUUAUGUUUAGUUGCCACCCCCGAGCAAUCGGGGCGCACUCUAGACAGACUGCCCGUACAAGCGGGAGGAAGGUGGGGAUGACGUCAAGUCCGUAUGGCCCUUACACCCAGGGCUGCACACGUGCUACAAUGGUCGGUACAGAGGGAUGCUACACCGCGAGGUUACGCAAAUCCCUAAAAGCCGGUCCCAGUUCGGAUUGCAGUCUGUAACUCGACUGCAUGAAGUUGGAUUCGCUAGUAACGGCGUAUCAGCUACGACGCCGUGAUACGUUCCCGGGCCUUGUACACACCGCCCGUCACAUCAUGAAAGCCGUCUGCACCCGAAGUCACUGAACCAACCAGCAAUGGAGGGAGGUGCCGAAGGUGUGGGUGGUGAUUGGGAUGAAGU
rnacentral:rRNA from 1 species